UACGUAGGGGGCAAGCGUUGUCCGGAAUCAUUGGGCGUAAAGCGCGUGUAGGCGGCCCGGUAAGUCCGCUGUGAAAGUCGGGGGCUCAACCCUCGAAUGCCGGUGGAUACUGUCGGGCUAGAGUGCGGAAGAGGCGAGUGGAAUUCCUGGUGUAGCGGUGAAAUGCGCAGAUAUCGAGGAGGAACACCUGUAGGCGAAAGCGGCUCACUGGACCGACAACGUGCGCUGAGGCGACGAAAGCUAGGGGAGCAAACAGG
rnacentral:rRNA from 1 species